rnacentral:rRNA from 1 species
CACCGGCGGCUCGAGUGGUGGCCACUUUUAUUGGGUCUAAAGCGUCCGUAGCCGGCUUGGCAAGUCCCCUGGGAAAUCUGGCGGCUUAACCGUCAGGCGUCCAGAGGAUACUGCCAGGCUUGGGAACGGGAGAGGUGAGAGGUACCUCAGGGGUAGGGGUGAAAUCUUGUGAUCCCUGAGGGACCACCAGUGGCGAAGGCGUCUCACUAGAACGGGUCCGACGGUCAGGGACGAAAGCUGGGGGCACGAACCGG